rnacentral:misc_RNA from 1 species
GCAGCGAAAUGCGAUAAGUAAUGUGAAUUGCAGAAUUCAGUGAAUCAUCGAAUCUUUGAACGCACAUUGCGCCCUCUGGUAUUCCGGGGGGCAUGCCUGUUCGAGCGUCAUUACAACCCUCAAGCUUUGCUUGGUAUUGGACAUUGCCAGUUUCUGGCAGGUCUUAAAAUCAGUGGCGGUGCCAUUUGGCUUCAAGCGUAGUAAUUCUUCUCGCUUUGGAGAUCCAAGUGGUUACUUGCCAAUAACCCCCAAUUUUCAGGUUGACCUCG